GGGGGUGUAGCUCAGUUUUGGUUAGAGCGCCGGCCUGUCAAGCCGGAGGUCGCGGGUUCAAGUCCCGUCACUCCCGCCA
rnacentral:tRNA from 2 species